rnacentral:tRNA from 1 species
GGGGAUUUAGCUCAGUGGUAGAGCGCUUGCCUAGCAAGUACAAGACCCUGGAUUCAGUCCCCA